rnacentral:lncRNA from 10 species
CCUGAGACACUGGGCAUUUUGGGUCUGAUGGAGAAGUCAGCCCUGCUAGAACCCAAGUCUCCCAGCCUGUACAGUACCAGCACAAAGCCCAGAGAUGGCCGGAGACUUGCCCAAGGUUACACAGCACAUUGCCAGCUGACUCAGAGGUCCCCAUCCUGCCUUCCCGGCACCAAGUCUUGCAAACCUGGGGCUGAGACAUGUGAGCAGCCCCAGAACAGAUAAAACAAAGCAGGAACCACAUCAGCAACAAAGGCAAGACCCGAGCUCCCAUCCUGGGAAUCGAGUGGUGCCUGGCUGGGUGUCCGGAGCCGCUGACGUCUUGCCUGAUGACCUUGGGCCACUCCUGACCUUCCACGAUCUGGCUUCCAGGAUCCUGGGAAACAGGAUCUCACAUUUCCCUCUCUCUUGGACCCCAGUGUAUGUACAGUAGGGCCAGUAGCAAGGGUUUUCUCAUCCUUCCCACGGACCAGUCACUUGGUUCAAGCAGGUACCAUGCUGUUUCAAUGACCCACUAUGUCAUGUCUCCCCUCUUGGCCUCGCCACCUGGGCUGCGAUCACAGACAAUCUGGCUUGAUUCUCGUCACCACACCUCAAGGCAGUAUCUUAUCUCAACCAGCACCACGAUGGGGAAACUGAGACACGUGCCCCAGGUCACACAGUGACUCGGGCCACCAAGUGGGAAUCUGAGCCAGGGAUUCUCAGAAAUUUUCUGUCCUCCCCAUGGGUCCCCUCCCUCUUCCUCACUUCAUUUGGCAAACAUCUAUUGAAUGCCUACUGUGUACCCAACUUUCCCAGGUGCUGGAGUCUCCUCAGGCAAUGCCUUUGAUAGACUCCCCCUUCCCCUCCCUCCUCCUGGUCAGCUGUGACCCGAUUUAAAGAGCACUAAUACUGUCAUUAAUAUUAUAAUAAUCAUGUCUGUAUUUACAGAGCUUCCUCCUCCCACAGACUCCUCCCAUCUUCCCAGAGGAAUUCAGCCCAUUUCACAGAAGAACAAACAAAGGCACCAAGGGAAAAACACACACACAGUUAAAUGAGGGUAAUGGAUUUGGGGAAGGAAGACCACAGAGGUGAAGCACCCAUCUCAUCACACCAUAUCAAAGGUACAAACUGUCAACAUGACUUACUCUGCUGGUGUUGACCUUGAUUUCCUGGCCGAAUGGCAUCUGUCAGGUUUGGGGGCUUUUUUUAGUUUUUGUUUUGUUUGUUUGUUUUUUGUUUCUUUGUUUUCUUGAGACAGAGUCUCGCUCUGUUGCCAGGCUGGAGUGCAGUUGCGUGAUCUCGGCUCACUGCAACAACCUCCGCUUCCCAGGUUCAAGCAAUUCUCCUGCCUCAGCCUCCUUAGUAGCUGGGAUUACAGGCGCCCACGACCACACCCAGCUAAGUUUUAUAUUUUUAGCAGAGACGGGGUUUCACCAUAUUGGCCAGGCUGGUCGUGAACUCAUGACCUCAGGUUAUCCUCCUGCCUCGGCCUCCCAAUGUACUGGGAUCACAGGCAUAAACCACCACACCCGGCCAAUGUGUACUUGUUACUGGGGUGACGUGUCUUGGAGGCCCUGUCUGCAGACAGAGCAGGGAGCUGUAUGUGUGUAUAUAUGUAUAUACACAUAUCUGUACAUAUUUUGCUGUAACUAUCUAUAUUGGGUUGAACAUGAGCUCAGCCUCCUCCCCUUGCCUGUCUGUGAUCUUCUACUUUAUCCCUGAGAAACCUGGCUCCCACUGUCAGCCCUCCAAAGUAGGAGGCAGGACUCAACUCCAGAGGUGGGGCUGCGACAUUGGACCAAAUUGAGGACUAGCUAUUAUAAAACAGACCCCCAGGGAAGGGGCUUUCCUUAAGACAUGCCCACUGGUGUGCCAUGUCAGUUUACCAUUGCCAUGACAACAUGCAGAAGUUACCACCCUUUUCCAUGGCAACAACCCUGAUGACUCAGAAGUUGUCACCCUUUUCCUGGAAGUUUCUGCAUACACUGCCCCUUA